AGGACCCAGGGUACACAGGGUGGGUGGCUAUUCUCCAGAAAUGUCAGUUUCUGGGCAGGGCUUAGGUGUCUGCAGUCCCUAGUCCCACCCCUGGCCUUGCAUUCCAGCUCAGCGGGUGGAAGGUAUAAAUUUCAGCUGCUCUCAGCCCUGCUGUGUUUUUCCAAAGCCUUCCAACAGCAACAUGAAGUUGGCAGCCUUCCUCCUCCUGUGAUCCUCAUCAUCUUCAGCCUAGAGGUACAAGAGCUUCAGGCUGCAGGAGACCGGCUUUUGGGUACCUGCGUCGAGCUCUGCACAGGUGACUGGGACUGCAACCCCGGAGACCACUGUGUCAGCAAUGGGUGUGGCCAUGAGUGUGUUGCAGGGUAAGGACAGGUAAAAACACCAGGCCCUCCCUGCUUUCUGAAACGUUGUUCAGUCUAGAUGAAGAGUUAUCUUAAGGAUCAUCUUUCCCUAAGAUCGUCAUCCCUUCCUGGAGUUCCUAUCUUCCAAGAUGUGACUGUCUGGAGUUCCUUGACUAGGAAGAUGGAUGAAAACAGCAAGCCUGUGGAUGGAGACUACAGGGGAUAUGGGAGGCAGGGAAGAGGGGUUGUUUCUUUUAAUAAAUCAUCAUUGUUAAAAGCA